rnacentral:rRNA from 1 species
UACGUAGGGACCAAGCGUUGUUCGGAUUUACUGGGCGUAAAGGGUGCGUAGGCGGCUUUUUAAGUUUGGUGUGAAAUCUCCCGGCUCAACUGGGAGGGUGCGCCGAAUACUGAGAGGCUAGAGUGUGGGAGAGGAAAGUGGAAUUCCUGGUGUAGCGGUGAAAUGCGUAGAUAUCAGGAGGAACACCGGUGGUGUAAACGCUUCUGGACCAUAACUGACGCUGAGGCACGAAAGCGUGGGUAGCAAACAGG